CCUACGGGAGGCAGCAGUGAGGAAUAUUGGUCAAUGGACGAGAGUCUGAACCAGCCAAGUAGCGUGAAGGAUGACGGCUCUAUGGGUUGUAAACUGCUUUUAUAUGGGAGUAAAAUGCUCUACGUGUGGGGGGUUGUAUGUAACAUAUGAAUAAGGAUCGGCUAACUCCGUGCCAGCAGCCGCGGUAAUACGGAGGAUCCGAGCGUUAUCCGGAUUUAUUGGGUUUAAAGGGUGCGUAGGUGGAUUGAUAAGUUAGUGGUGAAAGGUCGGGGCUCAACCCUUAAACUGCCGUUGAUACUGGCGGUCUUGAGUACAGUAGAGGUAGGCGGAAUGCAUGGUGUAGCGGUGAAAUGCUUAGAUAUCACGCAGAACUCCGAUUGCGAAGGCAGCUCACCGGACUACAACUGACACUGAGGCUCGAAAGUGUGGGUAUCAAACAGGAUUAGAUACCCGAGUAGUC
rnacentral:rRNA from 1 species